UAUAACUACUGUUUUGUUCUGUUCUGAUUUCUUGUUGUCGGGGCAAUGCAGGUCAUUUUCGUCGGAGGACGGUUAACUGGCGGCGGUUUCUCGGCAGGGGAGAAUCCAUUCACUCCAAAAGCAUCUCUGAUUCGUUACUGGAACAAAGAGAUCAGUGCCGACAAAUCUCUCAGAUCAGAGUUCCUAAUCUCCAAGGCGUCACCGCUUAACGCCGUAGACUCAGCCACUUUCGCCAAACUGGCCGCCCAAAACUCACUCCCAACCCGUCUCUCCGACUUCUGCUCCGCCGCGAACCUCUUCUGCUUCCCGGACCUGACCCCGAGCCUCGAGAAGCACGACGACAACGUCAAGUUCUCCGUCUACGACCAAAAAAACUUCAGCACCUACGGCGACGCACGUGCCGCCGGCGCCGACUCGUUCAAAACCUACUCAAAAGGCAACAACGGCGCCAUGGACACUUUCCGGAGAUACAGCCGCAACGCGGCGGGUCACGAAGAUAAGUUCACCGUCUACGGCGAGAGAGGCAACGUCGACGAGAAGGACUUCAACUCCUACGGAACCUUCGGAGCCGGCGGCGCCGGAGACUUCACCAACUACCAAAACGACGUUAACGACCCGAUGAGUCGAUUCACGGCGUAUUCCGACGGCGGAACCGGAAGGUCCCAGACUUUCAAAACCUACACGCACGACGCCAACGCCGGCAACGGCCAAUCGUUCACUAGCUACAGCAAAAAGGGAAACGCGUCGCCGAACGAGUUCGCCUCGUACGGCGACUCAUCCAACGUGAUCGGCUCUGAUUUCAAGAACUACGGCGAGGAAGAAAACGCCGCCAAAGAUACCUUCACCAGCUACGCGAGCGGCGGCAACGUACCGCUUAACAACUUCAAAAACUACGGCGAGUCCGUUAUAUUUAUACUAAGAUCAUACAACUAUACACAAUUAAUGUAACUAGUAAAUAAAUUAAGUUGAUAUAUUUUGAAUUUAAAUGUGUAAGUUUUUGGUGGUUGUCAAGAAAAUAUAAUGGGUGUAGGCUUUUUUCGGCUUCUCUCUAUAUAUAUACUACACAAUCUGCUCUCAAAAUUAACAAGCCCACCAAUCUCUUCUCUGCUUCACACUAAGAACCAAACAUGCUCAAACCGUUGCUUCUUCUCCAAUCCUUAUUCUUCUGUCUCUUCAAUGUAAGCAAACUCUUUGAAUCUUUAUAACUACUGUUUUGUUCUGUUCUGAUUUCUUGUUGUCGGGGCAAUGCAGGUCAUUUUCGUCGGAGGACGGUUAACUGGCGGCGGUUUCUCGGCAGGGGAGAAUCCAUUCACUCCAAAAGCAUCUCUGAUUCGUUACUGGAACAAAGAGAUCAGUGCCGACAAAUCUCUCAGAUCAGAGUUCCUAAUCUCCAAGGCGUCACCGCUUAACGCCGUAGACUCAGCCACUUUCGCCAAACUGGCCGCCCAAAACUCACUCCCAACCCGUCUCUCCGACUUCUGCUCCGCCGCGAACCUCUUCUGCUUCCCGGACCUGACCCCGAGCCUCGAGAAGCACGACGACAACGUCAAGUUCUCCGUCUACGACCAAAAAAACUUCAGCACCUACGGCGACGCACGUGCCGCCGGCGCCGACUCGUUCAAAACCUACUCAAAAGGCAACAACGGCGCCAUGGACACUUUCCGGAGAUACAGCCGCAACGCGGCGGGUCACGAAGAUAAGUUCACCGUCUACGGCGAGAGAGGCAACGUCGACGAGAAGGACUUCAACUCCUACGGAAC
rnacentral:lncRNA from 1 species